CAGAGGGUGCAAGCGUUAAUCGGAAUUAUUGGGCGUAAAGGGCUUGUAGGUGGUUAUAUAAGUUAGAUGUGAAACCCUGGGCUCAACCUGGGACGUGCAUUUAAUACUGUAUGACUAGAGUAUGGUAGAGGAAGGGGAAUUCCUGGUGUAGCAGUGAAAUGCGUAGAGAUCAGGAGGAACAUCGGUGGCGAAGGCGCCUUUCUGGACUAAUACUGACACUGAGGAGCGAAGGCGUGGGGGAGCAAACAGGAUU
rnacentral:rRNA from 1 species